rnacentral:rRNA from 1 species
CUCAGGUGCGAAAGCGUGGGGAGCAAACAGGAUUAGAUACCUGGUAGUCACGCUGUAAACGAUGUCGAUUUGGAGGUUGUGCUGACGUGGCUUCGGAGCUAACGCGUUAAAUCGACCGCGUGGGGAGUACGGCCGCAAGGUUAAAACUCAAAUGAAUUGACGGGGGCCCGCACAAGCGGUGGAGCAUGUGGUUUAAUUCGAUGCAACGCGAAGAACCUUACCUACUCUUGACAUCCAGAGAACUUUCCAGAGAUGGAUUGGUGCCUUCGGGAACUCUGAGACAGGUGCUGCAUGGCUGUCGUCAGCUCGUGUUGUGAAAUGUUGGGUUAAGUCCCGCAACGAGCGCAACCCUUAUCCUUUGUUGCCAGCGGUUAGGCCGGGAACUCAAAGGAGACUGCCAGUGAUAAACUGGAGGAAGGUGGGGAUGACGUCAAGUCAUCAUGGCCCUUACGAGUAGGGCUACACACGUGCUACAAUGGCAUAUACAAAGAGAAGCGACCUCGCGAGAGCAAGCGGACCUCAUAAAGUAUGUCGUAGUCCGGACUGGAGUCUGCAACUCGACUCCAUGAAGUCGGAAUCGCUAGUAAUCGUAGAUCAGAAUGCUACGGUGAAUACGUUCCCGGGCCUUGUACACACCGCCCGUCACACCAUGGGAGUGGGUUGCAAAAGAAGUAGGUAGCUUAACCUUCGGGAGGGCGCUUACCACUUUGUGAUUCAUGACUGGGGUGAAGUCGUAACAAGGUAACCAAGGGCGAAUUCUG